UGGGGGAUUUUGGACAAUGGGGGCAACCCUGAUCCAGCCAUGCCGCGUGCGGGAAGAAGGCCUUCAGGUUGUAAACCGCUUUUGUCAGGGAAGAAACGCUCUGAGCUAAUACCUCGGAGUAAUGACGGUACCUGAAGAAUAAGCACCGGCUAACUACGUGCCAGCAGCCGCGGUAAUACGUAGGGUGCAAGCGUUAAUCGGAAUUACUGGGCGUAAAGCGUGCGCAGGUGGUGAUGUAAGACAGAUGUGAAAUCCCCGGGCUCAACCUGGGAACUGCAUUUGUGCCUGCAUCGCUGGAGUGCGGCAGAGGGGGAUGGAAUUCCGGGUGUAGCAGUGAAAUGCGUAGAUAUGCGGAGGAACACCGAUGGCGAAGGCAAUCCCAGGGGCCUGCACUGACGCUCAUGCACGAAAGCGGGGGGAGCAAACA
rnacentral:rRNA from 1 species